UCUCUUUCGGUUUACGAGACUCUGUGUCUAUUGUUGUGAAAAGGAUAUCACCAAGUCGCGAGUAGCCAUAGUUAUGUAUAGUUCACACCAAACCACCUUUUCAGGAGAGAAUCAGCCUGUGGUGAAACCAAGUCUCCUAAGCGCUUCAUCAUUGACGCCAUGAGGAAUGACUUCCACCAAAAUUUUUUGCAGAGAUACAUGAAGUAGUUGUUUAAAGCUAAGAAG
rnacentral:lncRNA from 1 species